rnacentral:rRNA from 1 species
CCUACGGGGUGCAGCAGUGAGGAAUAUUGGUCAAUGGACGAGAGUCUGAACCAGCCAAGUAGCGUGAAGGAUGACUGCCCUAUGGGUUGUAAACUUCUUUUAUAUGGGAAUAAAAUGUUCCACGUGUGGGAUUUUGUAUGUACCAUAUGAAUAAGGAUCGGCUAACUCCGUGCCAGCAGCCGCGGUAAUACGGAGGAUCCGAGCGUUAUCCGGAUUUAUUGGGUUUAAAGGGAGCGUAGGUGGAUUGUUAAGUCAGUUGUGAAAGUUUGCGGCUCAACCGUAAAAUUGCAGUUGAAACUGGCAGUCUGGAGUACAGUAGAGGUGGGCGGAAUUCGUGGUGUAGCGGUGAAAUGCUUAGAUAUCACGAAGAACUCCGAUUGCGAAGGCAGCUCACUGGACUGCAACUGACACUGAGGCUCGAAAGUGUGGGUAUCAAACAGGAUUAGAUACCCCAGUAGUC